rnacentral:lncRNA from 1 species
GUUGUGAAAGUUCCAGUCCUGUUAGCCCCUCCCACACCGCCACCGGCCACUGCACAAGUGAGGAACCGUGCCGGUUCGACCUGGUUAUUUUCGCGAAAGUGUUGCAUUGUUAGAACCAGCUAGCAGGACAAGAAACUAAGAAAGAAGGUCAGGUUUACUGGUUUGUUGCUCUCUCUGUUUUUUUUCCCACCUUCUUCCUGUAUCUCACUCUCUCUGUUUCGUCUGAAUCAUGAUUCAUUCAGAUCACGUUUCUCUCUCUCUCUCUCUGAUGGCCAUCGCCAUGGCGGAU